rnacentral:misc_RNA from 1 species
GAUGAAGAACGUAGUGAAAUGCGAUAAGUAAUGUGAAUUGCAGAAUUCAGUGAAUCAUCGAAUCUUUGAACGCACAUUGCGCCCGCCAGUAUUCUGGCGGGCAUGCCUGUUCGAGCGUCAUUUCAACCCUCAAGCACAGCUUGGUGUUGGGACUCGCGUUAAUUCGCGUUCCCCAAAUUGAUUGGCGGUCACGUCGAGCUUCCAUAGCGUAGUAGUAAAACCCUCGUUACUGGUAAUCGUCGCGGCCACGCCGUUAAACCCCAACUUCUGAAUGUUGACCUCGGAUCAGGUAGGAAUACCCGCUGAACUUAAGCAUAUCAAUAAGCGGAGGA